CUGGAGUGCUACUAAAAUUGGAAUGAUACAGAGAUUAGCAUGGCCCCUGUGCGAGGAUGAUACACAAAUUCCAUAUUUUC
rnacentral:snRNA from 1 species